UACAGAGGUCCCAAGCGUUGUUCGGAUUCACUGGGCGUAAAGGGUGCGUAGGUGGCCAGGUAAGUUCGGUGUGAAAGCUCGGAGCUUAACUCCGAAAUGGCAUUGAAUACUAUCUGGCUAGAGGGUCGGAGGGGAGACUGGAAUUCUCGGUGUAGCAGUGAAAUGCGUAGAUAUCAAGCGGAACACCAGUGGCGAAGGCGAGUCCCUGGACAACUCCUGACACUGAGGCACGAAGGCCAGGGGAGCAAACGGG
rnacentral:rRNA from 1 species